rnacentral:lncRNA from 1 species
ACUAACCUAAGAUGAUUACAUUCUUUGCUAGGUCCUCCUUGCAGACAUGCACAACUAAUUUUGUAGCAUCCAAUUACAUGAUAGGUUGGAUCAACUACAUAGCAUAUAGUUAGAAUAAGUGCUAACCGAAAAUAGAGCAAUCUGAGUGGCUGGCUGGUAGAGAUAACUGCAGCUGUGAAUAUGUGUUCUCUAUGCUCCAGAAACUAUUUACAAGGAGUUC